rnacentral:rRNA from 1 species
AGCGAACGCUGGCGACAGGCUUAACACAUGCAAGUCGAACGGGCACUUCGGUGUCAGUGGCAGACGGGUGAGUAACGCGUGGGAACAUACCUCUUGGUUCGGAACAACACAGGGAAACUUGUGCUAAUACCGGAUAAGCCCUUACGGGGAAAGAUUUAUCGCCGAGAGAUUGGCCCGCGUCUGAUUAGCUAGUUGGUGUGGUAAAAGCGCACCAAGGCGACGAUCAGUAGCNGGUCUGAGAGGAUGAUCAGCCACAUUGGGACUGAGACACGGCCCAAACUCCUACGGGAGGCAGCAGUGGGGAAUAUUGGACAAUGGGCGCAAGCCUGAUCCAGCCAUGCCGCGUGAGUGAUGAAGGCCCUAGGGUUGUAAAGCUCUUUUGUACGGGAAGAUAAUGACGGUACCGUAAGAAUAAGCCCCGCUAACUUCGUGCCAGCAGCCGCU